rnacentral:rRNA from 1 species
UACGAAGGGAGCUAGCGUUGUUCGGAAUCACUGGGCGUAAAGCGCACGUAGGCGGAUGUGUCAGUCAGGGGUGAAAUCCCGGGGCUCAACCCCGGAACUGCCUUUAAGACUGCAUCGCUUGAAUCCGGGAGAGGUGAGUGGAAUUCCGAGUGUAGAGGUGAAAUUCGUAGAUAUUCGGAAGAACACCAGUGGCGAAGGCGGCUCACUGGACCGGUAUUGACGCUGAGGUGCGAAAGCGUGGGGAGCAAACAGG